AUUGAACGCUGGCGGCAUGCCUUACACAUGCAAGUCGAACGGUAACGGGCCUUCGGGUGCCGACGAGUGGCGAACGGGUGAGUAAUGCAUCGGAACGUACCUUUCAGUGGGGGAUAACGUAGCGAAAGUUACGCUAAUACCGCAUAUUCUGUGAGCAGGAAAGCAGGGGAUCGCAAGACCUUGCGCUGAUUGAGCGGCCGAUGUCAGAUUAGCUAGUUGGUGAGGUAAAGGCUCACCAAGGCGACGAUCUGUAGCGGGUCUGAGAGGAUGAUCCGCCACACUGGAACUGAGACACGGUCCAGACUCCUACGGGAGGCAGCAGUGGGGAAUUUUGGACAAUGGGGGCAACCCUGAUCCAGCCAUGCCGCGUGAGUGAAGAAGGUCUUCGGGUUGUAAAGCUCUUUCGGCCGGGAAGAAAUCGCAUGGGUUAAUACCCUGUGCGGAUGACGGUACCGGCAUAAGAAGCACCGGCUAACUACGUGCCAGCAGCCGCGGUAAUC
rnacentral:rRNA from 1 species